rnacentral:rRNA from 1 species
UACGUAGGGGGGCAAGCGUUGUCCGGAUUUAUUGGGCGUAAAGAGCGUGUAGGCGGCUUUGCAAGUCCGUUGUGAAAAACUCGAGGCUCAACCUCGAGACGCCGGUGGAAACUGCAAAGCUAGAGUCCGGAAGAGGAGAGUGGAAUUCCUGGUGUAGCGGUGAAAUGCGCAGAUAUCAGGAAGAACACCCGUGGCGAAGGCGGCUCUCUGGGACGGUACUGACGCUGAGACGCGAAAGCGUGGGGAGCGAACAGG